CGGCGACCAGCUCCGGAGGCCGAGGGGCUGCCUGGCCGCGCCGCCGCUCCGCCAUGUGGCUGCUGCCUGCUUGGGUGCUGCUCAGCGCCGUGGGCGCCGGUUCUGCCCAGUUGAUAUUUAGUGGGACAGAUGUUGUUGAAAGAACUGACUGUAAUAAAACUGUCAUUUUACCUUGCUAUGUGACUAAUCUGAAGGAGAACAACACAAAUGUCAUGUUUGUGACGUGGAAAAAACAAGGAAAUAUCAUUUUUUCUUUUGAUGGAAGAAAACAGGAGUUUUUCAGAGAUCCCGAGUUUCGAUCAGCUGACUUAGUAUCUCAGGUGGAUUUACCCAAAGGUAUUGCCUCUCUGAUGCUUAGCGGUGCAGAAGCAGCUGUUGGAAAUUACAGCUGUGAAGUAACAGAAUCAAACAGAGAAGGAGAAACGAGAAUUGAACUUAGAAACCACUCAGUUGUCAGUUGCGGCGAGGAAAAUACCCCAGCAUCAAAGGAGAUACGUGGAUCAUGGUUUCUUCUAAUGGAAAGGGCUAUCAUCAUAACGUUACUGUUCUUAGUUAUUGCUUUGUGUGCGGCUCAGUUAAGUGCUAUUGUAUUAAAAUAUGAAACUGUACCUCAGAAGAAAACAGGCAUUAUCGGAGCCAUUGCUGCCCUCAUAGUUGCUGCUGUUGUAGGCACUGUUCUUUUUGUCCAAGAUGGCUAUACUGCACAGAAUCAAGCUGGCCUCGGUCUGAUUGUAGUCCCUGCUGUGAUUUUGGUACCGCUUCAAUAUGUUAUGUUUGGAAUCGUCUUUGAUAGCCUACCGCAAGCAGCAUUUGCUCUGAUAGGUUUGCACAUUCUUGGUUAUGUCAUUGCUGUGGUUGGUUUUGCACUGUGUGUCUCAGCCUGUCCUCCAUUACAUGGGUCUGUUGUGAUUGCUGGCUUAGCUAUUAUGGCCAUUGCAAAUUUGCUUAGUCUGGCUUACGUGUUUAUUAUGGGUUCCAGAAUGAAAGAUCAUCCUCGUCCAGGGAAUCACUACUUACUGUAUAUGUCUAUUAGAGUAAUUUAACUGUGGCGAGCCAGAAGUAAACAUGAAGGCUUUUUAUACAUAUAUAUAUUUUUAAAUGUUUUGCAGAAAGCUGUAGAAGAACCACUAAAUGAUGCAAAAGGAGUGAUGUUAGAAUGAUGAACUGCAGAGCAAUGUGAUACGUGAAAAGUACACCGUUGUUGAUACACCGUGGCCUUGAAGAUGCACUACUCAACGAGAAGAAAUUCAGGAAACUAGUUGUUUUGCAUGUGUGGCAAAAGUGCUUUUGAUAUAAAUGAGGUCAUUUUCUAGUCACAGCAGCUGUAGCAAGGACCAUGUGUGUUUGCCCACAUGUGAUCUUUCUUUCUUUUGUUACGGUAUAUGUGGGAUGUUUGAGGGUGAGCAUAUGAAAAGCACUGUUUGCCCACUGCAGGGUCUCCCUGCAGGAAUCCUUAGUGGUAUUAUUUUCAGAAGCUAUCAUUAGUCACUGCUUCGAUAACGGGCCUGCUCGGCCCACAGAUUGCAAUACCAUUUAGACUAUUGUUUUCUUUAUUUGUGUGCAUGGGCAAGGUAUGGUCAUACGUCUAUGAUACAAGCAGGAAAUCAAGACUGUACAAAGACAUCUUUCUCUGACAUUCAGCAAAACUUUUCUAUAAAAAGAAUAAAUAAAAUGCUUAUACACAAAGUUCCAUCAGUACAAAGUUUACUCCCAGCUCUCCUUAAGUCAGUAACUGGGUUCUCCUGGUUCCACGAAACAGUAGUGUUCCUCUCUAUGGACAGUAGUCAUGUGUGCUCUGGUGGCCAAUAUUUUAGUCCAGUGAGAGAGUUCUCUGUGCCUCUUCUGUAUUCUUUGAUGAGAAACUGCUCAGCUGUUGGAGCCUAAUUCAGCACUGGAAUUAUGGAGCACAGCAGCUAGUAAUUUUCAUGCUGAAUGUGGUUCUUGUGUGUGUUCAUGUCGUGUGGUGUGUGGUACUGGAAGCAACUUCAGGCUUUCUUAACUCAGUGAAUUUGUAAAAGUCAUGGAUGCUUCAUAAAAAUAGGAGUUGUCCUAUUUAGUGUACAUUGGACAGAGUUUUAAAACCUUGUUUUGGAAACAAGGAGCUAUUCCAUUUCUGACCCAAGUUUGUGAUGCUGCCGUUACAUCACAAAUAGAUAAAAUAGAAAGUAAGUAGGAGGAGCUGAUGAGAAGCGAGGAGGCUCAGUUUCUGUAUAUAUGUAAGUGGUACAGUUAAAAACCAAUUUUUUUCUAGGACUUGCACAUUCCAUGAGAUUUUACCACGUUUUAUAACUGUUUUGAGAGUUGUUCCAAUGCAGUUGGCUUCUCUUGGGCUUCAUGUAUACUUCGUAGAAAUCUUGAUGCUGUCUCCUUUUCAUCCUAAGGGAAUGCCUUUCAAAGGCACCACGUUUUUCUCCUCCUAGCAAUUAAAAACUUGGUUUGGAAAGCUCUUACCAAACAGUCAUGUGAAAAAAUAAUAAAUCCAUGUCUUUAAAGAUUUUUGAGUAAUUUGGCACAUCUGGAUGUGCAUGUUACGAGCUAAGGUUCAUAUCCAUGUUUGGGUGCAUGUUGCAGGGAUUCUGGUCUCUGCAUAUUGAGCUCCAAUCUUGGUGCAGUCACCUUGCAUCAAGAGAAUGAAAUUGAGGUAUCUGAUUGUACAACACUGACUCUUAUGAACAGCCCUCUUGCUAGGGCUGCAGGGGUGAACAGCUUAAAGCAGCCCACGGUCCAGCCCUUGCUCAGAUCAGUGGAACUGGCCACAGUGAAGAGGGUUAUUAGUGUGAUAAAAAGUUAAGAAGCGUGUACGAUUUACACUUUGCUUUCAUACCUUCAGUCUGUCAGUGGGAGUAUUCAUCUGAUAUCUGAGCUCCUAUGUAUGAAUCUUGAUACAGACUUUUCCGUAAUCCCAGCAAUCACUACCUAAAGAAAGGGAGAUUACUCUCCAUUAACAAUUCAGUGUAAGAAUUGACCUGAUUAAGUACCAUGCAGAGCUCCCUCUUUAUAACUAGUGAUUUCCUCUGGCAAGCUGAAAGUUGAGCAGUUGAGGAAUAAAAACCAAACCAACUGGAAUUGUGUUGUGGUAUUCUGCCUUAUCAAAACCAUUAUGUAUAAUAGCUUUAUGUUAACUUCUGUAAAGCAGACUGCAGUAGAACCUGUUUGUGUCAUGGUGGGAUGAGGCCGAGCUGUUACUAAGCACUGCUGAAACAAGAGGAGCUUGAUGGCUGUGAACAGGCUGCAGGAGCAAUUGCCCCACAAAUGGGGGAAACUCACUAUCCUGUUGUUGUGUUAAGGGCUCUGCUCUGGAUUUCACGUGGGUACAGAUGUACAAGGGAGCGUUUAAAAAGUCACUGAUAACACCCAGCCUUUUCCCACCAGUAUUUUCAGACCAAAGUUGUUCAUAACUGUAUGCUUCCAUUCGUGAGUGUACGUAUGUGUGUAUGUAUAAAUAUAUAGACAUUUUAAAUAUCUAUAGCUCUAUAGUCUUUACCCAAGAAAAUGUUUUUAUUUAUGAAUCAUGAAACAAUUUUGUAAAUAUUGUGCUAAUAUACUUAAAAAAUAAAGUCAUUUUAAGUUGUU